GACGAACGCUGGCGGCGUGCCUAAUACAUGCAAGUCGAGCGAGACUCUUCGGAGUCUAGCGGCGGACGGGUGAGUAACACGUGGGCAACCUGCCUGUGAGACUGGGAUAACACCGGGAAACCGGUGCUAAUACCGGAUAAUCCUUAUCCUCUCAUGAGGAAAAGCUGAAAGUCGGUUUCGGCUGACACUUACAGAUGGGCCCGCGGCGCAUUAGCUAGUUGGUGAGGUAACGGCUCACCAAGGCGACGAUGCGUAGCCGACCUGAGAGGGUGAUCGGCCACACUGGGACUGAGACACGGCCCAGACUCCUACGGGAGGCAGCAGUAGGGAAUCUUCCACAAUGGACGAAAGUCUGAUGGAGCAACGCCGCGUGAGCGAUGAAGGCCUUCCGGUCGUAAAGCUCUGUUGUUAGGGAAGAACAAGUACCGGAGUAACUGCCGGUACCUUGACGGUACCUAACCAGAAAGCCACGGCUAACUCUGUGCCAGCAGCCGCAGUAAAAC
rnacentral:rRNA from 1 species